UUAGUUUGAGGACUUUAGCUCUGACAGAUUUCAGGAUUCAGUCCAAAAUGCAGAAAACAAUAAAAAGCUCAAAAACAAUGGACAAGACUAGAAUCUAACAACAGGGUCUCAAGCCACCCAGGCUGGAGUCCAGUGGCACAAUUACAGCUCACUGUAGCCUCACCUUCCUAGGAUCAAGCAAUCCUCUUUCUUCAGCCUCCAGAGGAGCUGGGACCACAGAUCCUUUGGCAUUUGAGAGUUGCUUUGUGUAUACAGCCCUUUAACGGAGUAAAUGGCCAGCCAGGAAACCAAAAUAUGGACAAGGAAAAAGAAGCAUCUGUGGAGGAAGUUUUACAAGCGGCCCUCCUCAUCCAUGUUGUUGGCUAUGCCCAUAUGCUACAUGUCUGUGGACCACUAUGUGUGUUUGAGGGUGCCUCAAAAGUGACAGAGGGUGUAGAAAGCUUGUUAGUAAAAUGCUACUAAAAA
rnacentral:lncRNA from 1 species